GGCCUAGCUCAGUGGUAGAGCACAUGCUUAGCAUGCUCGAGGUCCUGGGUUCAAUCCCCAGCACCGCCA
rnacentral:tRNA from 1 species